UACGGAGGAUUCAAGCGUUAUCCGGAUUUAUUGGGUUUAAAGGGUGCGUAGGCGGAGUGCCAAGUCAGCGGUAAAAAUUCGGGGCUCAACCCCGUCGUGCCGUUGAAACUGGCGCCCUUGAGUGGGCGAGAAGUAUGCGGAAUGCGUGGUGUAGCGGUGAAAUGCAUAGAUAUCACGCAGAACCCCGAUUGCGAAGGCAGCAUACCGGCGCCCGACUGACGCUGAAGCACGAAAGCGUGGGUAUCGAACAGG
rnacentral:rRNA from 1 species